AUGACUAAUCUAAUCUCUUACACUACAAGACGAAAUAUAACACUGAAGAAAGAAAACAACACAUGUUUAUGAUUGGCACCAUGCUGCUUUUUUAUUGCUAAAAUUUAAUAUUUUUUGUACAAAAUCAUGCGGGGUGCAUCUGUAGUGCAUAGAUCAGACUAAGCAUAGAGUUUCACAUUCAGAGGCAAAAUCAGCAAUGCAUAUCAGGUCAUCAAAGCAUAUAAACUUAUGUUCUGCACUAUUUGCACUGAACAUGAAAAAGAACUUGUCAUUUUAUUCCAUUUAAACUCACAAUUGUUAGUUUUGCUAAAACGCACUGUAUCUUACCUCUUGAAUCACAGACUUGUUACAUUUUCAUCAUACAAUACUCAAAUCCAAAAAAGUAACUUAUUUUAAUGAAUACAUCUGUGAAUAAUUUACAGCAGCAAUAAACCUUUGGGAUUUCAUGCAUUUGAAAAUAAAGUCACAACAUUGGUCUACUCAUAGAUUUAUCACAUUUCUGCAUAAAUAUGUUCAAGCAAAGCUUAAUUAUUGCAUGCAUCACAAAACAUUUUUUAUCCACUUCUACCAUGCAUUAACAAAUGUGUUUUGCACUCUUAUUAAGAAAAUACUAGUUAAUUCCCAAUGGAUCUUUUUCAUUUUGUAGUAUAUUGUUUACCCAGGAUUCACUGAGACAAUGAAUCAUCAGAGUGUCACAAACUGCUACCAGAACACUGCUCAUAUUGCUGUUAAUGAAAAUAAGCUGUAAAUAUACAUACAGCUUAUGUGCGUUCCACAAUGGUUUGAAUGUAAACAUGCAAGGUCAAUAGAAGGCCAUAAGCCCUGCAUAUAUAUACACAUUUACUACCUAUCAACUUUCUUCCACCUGUACAAAAUAAAAAAGGUAUUUCAUAUUUGUCAGACCCUUGGAGCUACCUUCACAUAUUUAUUUGAUGUCAACAAAUAAUGGGGCUGUUAACAGCUAGUUUUGUAUUACCAAAUAUGAGCAAUGGGAUGUUCUAGAUAAAACACUUAUCACUGUCACAAAUAUGCUACAUAUUUCUAUUUCACAAACACCACUGAACUAUUCCGACACUAUAAUUCAUGCAUAAACUGGUUAUUGCUUCUAAACGUUGAACUUAAUACACAUCAUGGCUUGCAUAUCUUUGAGUAUAUUUAAAAAUAUAGUUUGCAUUCCAGUCAUUGAGGUAUUUAUCUACAUUACAAUGCUUUGAUAAUUGCUUUAUGCCACUUAAUAUACUACAUGUUACUUUAAAAUCUAGAGUUUCUGCUACUAGGAAUAAUCUACCCACAGCUCUAGUCUGAGACAACAUUACCUGAUGGAGAAUGCGAUAUUAGAGGUAUGAAUACAAACACAGUUCUAGGUUACCCUUUCUAAUCAGGACGAGAAUACUUUAGUCUUCUUUGUGUCCGAUUAUUACAGACCAAAUAAUGUUUCAGGAUCAACUGUUUCCAUAAGGAAUAAUCUUGAAACAGGUAUGAAAUAAAACUCUUGACUUCUUCUAAGCCACCAAGCCAAAUUUUCUGCCAGUUAGGGACUUUCGUUUUGAUCCGAGUCAACUAUUUUGGGCCCAGAACUUAAUUUUGCACAGUACAAACUAGGACAAACUCACACAGUGCUUAUGAUGCACCUGUAUGUAUUUCAGCAUGGCUAGCUGCACGUCAAUACCAACCGCCAUUUUUCUAAUCCUCAGCAUGCUACAACACAUUAUUAUUAACUAAUAGUGAUUACCUGUGAAUAAACAACUGUGUUUGCCGAUUAAAAAGUAAAACGAACAAACUCAGCAUGAGUGAAAAAAUGACUCGUCCAGUCACCUCUUAAUCAAAUCGGUCAAGAUGUAGAUGCUGCAUCCAUG